rnacentral:rRNA from 1 species
AUGCAUAGGAAUCUACCUAGUAGUAUGGGAUAGCCACUAGAAAUGGUGGGUAAUACUGUAUAAUCCCUGCGGGGGAAAGAUUUAUCGCUAUUAGAUGAGCCUAUGUUAGAUUAGCUAGUUGGUGGGGUAAUGGCCUACCAAGGCAGUGAUCUAUAGCUGGUCUGAGAGGAUGAUCAGCCACACUGGAACUGAGACACGGUCCAGACUCCUACGGGAGGCAGCAGUGGGGAAUAUUGGACAAUGGGCGCAAGCCUGAUCCAGCUAUGCCGCGUGAGUGAGGAAGGCCUUAGGGUUGUAAAACUCUUUCAGUAGGGAAGAUAAUGACGGUACCUA